rnacentral:lncRNA from 1 species
CGACUUGGGCCUCGUUAUUCAAAAUGCCAUAAUAAUCAUUUUCACAUUCCUACCACCCCCAUUCUCCCAUCCUCAGAAUUUUAAAUGGUCAUCCCCUAAAGACUGGAUUUCGUUGACCGUCAACGGUAUUCAUGACUUCGUAAUGGCUAUGACCGCACCUUACUGUUGCAUAAGUUUACAAAAAAAGAUAAAGAAAUACUUUCAGAAUAUAUGUAAAAAGCGGGAAAAAAUUACCCAAGAAAA